ACUAGCUUAUUGUAAAUAAGCAUAACAAUUUUUCGUAUUAUAGGAGAAAUUUUUUUUUCAGUUAGUA
rnacentral:tRNA from 1 species